rnacentral:rRNA from 1 species
CGAAAGCCUGACGGAGCAACGCCGCGUGGGGGAAGAAGGUUCUUGGAUUGUAAACCCCUUUUCUCAGGGAAGAAGUUCUGACGGUACCUGAGGAAUCAGCCUCGGCUAACUCCGUGCCAGCAGCCGCGGUAAUACGGAGGAGGCAAGCGUUAUCCGGAAUUAUUGGGCGUAAAGCGUCCGUAGGGGGCUCGUCAAGUCUGCUGUCAAAGCUCGGAGCUCAACUCCGACCCGGCAGUGGAAACUGGGGAGCUAGAGGGCGGCAGGGGCAGAAGGAAUUCCCGGUGUAGCGGUGAAAUGCGUAGAUAUCGGGAAGAACACCAGAGGCGAAAGCGUUCUGCUGGGCCGCACCUGACCCUCAGGGACGAAAGCUAAGGUAGCG